rnacentral:tRNA from 7 species
GGCUGGGUAGCUCAGUUGGUUAGAGCGAGAGACUCAUAAGCUCUAGGUCGUGAGUUCGAUCCUCACCCCAGCCACCA